AUACGUAGGUGGCAAGCGUUGUACGGAAUUAUUGGGCGUAAAGCGCGCGCAGGCGGUUCCUUAAGUCUGAUGUGAAAGCCCCCGGCUCAACCGGGGAGGGUCAUUGGAAACUGGGGAACUUGAGUGCAGAAGAGGAUAGUGGAAAUCCAAGUGUAGCGGUGAAAUGCGUAGAGAUUUGGAGGAACACCAGUGGCGAAGGCGAAUGUCUGGUCUGUAACGGACACUGAGGCGCGAAAGCGUGGGGAGCAAACAGGAUUAGAUACCCUGGUAGUCCACGCCGUAAACGAUGAGUGCUAAGUGUUGGGGGGUUUCCGCCCCUCAGUGCUGCAGCUAACGCAUUAAGCACUCCGCCUGGGGAGUACGGUCGCAAGACUGAAACUCAAAGGAAUUGACGGGG
rnacentral:rRNA from 1 species